rnacentral:rRNA from 1 species
UACGAAGAGGGCGAGCGUUGUUCGGAAUUACUGGGCGUAAAGGGCGCGCAGGCGGCUCUGAAAGUCAGAUGUGAAAUCCCCGGGCUCAACCUGGGAACUGCAUUUGUGACUGCAUGGCUAGAGUACGGUAGAGGGGGAUGGAAUUCCGCGUGUAGCAGUGAAAUGCGUAGAUAUGCGGAGGAACACCGAUGGCGAAGGCAAUCCCCUGGACCUGUACUGACGCUCAUGCACGAAAGCGUGGGGAGCAAACAGG